UCCGGAUAAACAAAUGCGUUGAGGUUCCACGCGUAUAUUUUGUAGCUUGAUUUCUAUGAUAAACAUGCUAUAUUGAAAGUUGAAAGCGAUUGAAAUGAAUAAAAUACAAUCCAUACUUACUAACCACACCGACGUUUCGGGUUGACAACGAGAAGUAUGCGUAAAAUAGCGAUACAACUAUAGCUGGAGUCAAUCUGGGUCGCAAGACGCACAUAAAAGAUACGUCAGUAUUGAUGAACACAGAACAUCAGACCUGUACCACUGGCAUCCUGUACCUUCACCAGAACAGACCAGAUACCUCACAAGACAGAAAGUGUGUGUCCAGCCAAGCAUUCAAUGGUUGAAGCUCUAAUAUCAGGUUGUAGUGGUUUUAGUACAGACACAGAAGAGAGGAGGCGGCUAAAAAACUGCAGUUCAGAGGGUUAGAAGUUAACAAUACAUGUUCAUAUUUCCAUGAGGCGAAAGGUUUGAGCUGCGAACACCAAAGCAAAAGAUUCCAGAUUACACGUCCAGAUAGGGAUUUGCGAAAGAAUUCUGUGCGUGGUUUGGGGACAGCCAGGUUAGCAUUAUCUCUGGAUUUAGGUUCAAGCUCACAUGAAAUUUGCAGUGAAAUGUAUGAAGUUCAGUUGUAAUGGUAAUGAGCUACAGGUCUUUGUCCUACAUGGUGAGGGAAACAGUGUAUGGCAUUU